rnacentral:rRNA from 1 species
UACGAAGGGGGCGAGCGUUGUUCGGAUUUACUGGGCGUAAAGGGCGCGCAGGCGGCUCAUUUUGUCAGGCGUGAAAGCCCCGGGCUUAACCUGGGAACUGCGUUUGAUACGGAUGGGCUAGAGUUCGGGAGAGGAGAGUGGAAUUCCCAGUGUAGAGGUGAAAUUCGUAGAUAUUGGGAAGAACACCCGUGGCGAAGGCGGCUCUCUGGAACGCAACUGACGCUGAGACGCGAAAGCGUGGGGAGCAAACAGG